GGAAGGGCGGCGGCUUCCCUAGAGGGCCGGUUCUCUGGCUCGGAGCUGGGGGGCGUGGGGGCCGUAGGUGUUGCUUCUGCGGAAUGGAAAUACUUUCUUUUUGAAGAAUGGAUGGUUACAUAACAGAUGGCCAGCUGGUCUACCUAGAAGGGCCUUACAAAGGACAGUGCCUCCGUGGGGAAGGCUCACCCUGGAUCAGACGCCGGAUUGCAGAUUUACCAUGAAUGAAGCCCUUGGAGACUGAAUCAUGUUAAAAAUUCAAAAACAACUCAGUAAAUAUUUAUUUGAAGUCCUGCUGUUCUUCAAGGCCCUGGAAUGCAGAUAUGAGAAGAGUCACUGCUGCCCAAGAGCUGACUGACUGUGGAGGAAGACCAUGCUAGCAGGUGGCUACGUUUUCUACCACCUAGCACCUGCUCCCCCUUCUCCUGGUAAUGGUAUCUGCAAAUAAUCUCCUCAGUCUGUGUGCUUUCAGUGGAACUGAAUCUACCCCUGGUUCAAGAGCUCAGGUUUCUCAACAGGGGUCCCUCAUGUGAACUACAGAAUAUAGAAAGAUUGAAUGACUAAUUAUACUAGAACCAUUCAAGAUGCAUAGGAGAGAACUCAGUUUGUUACACACAGGAGAUUCCUUAAAGAACUAAAAGUAAGACUAUCAUUAGAUCCAGCAAUCCCACUACUGGGUAUCUACCCAGAGGAAAAGAAGUCAUUAUACGAAAAAGAUACUUUCACAUGCAUGUUUAUAGCAGCACAAUUUGCAAUUGCAAAAAUGUGGAACUAACUCAAAUGCCCAUUAAUCAAUGAGUAGAUAAAGAAACUGUGGUAUAUCUAUACAAUGGAAUACUACUCAGCCAUUAAAAGGAAAGAAUUAAUGGCAUUUACAACGACCUGGAUGAGAUUGGAGACUAUUAUUCUAAGUGAUAUAACUCAGGAAUGGAAAAUCAAACAUCGUAUUUUCUCACUCAUAAGUGGGAGCUAAGCUAUGAGGAUGCAAAGGCAUAAGAAUGACACAAUGGAUUUGGGGGACUCAGGGAAAGAGUAGGAAGGGGGUGAAGGAUAAAAGACUACAAAUUGGGUGCAUUGUGUACUGCUUGGGUUAUGUGUGCACCAAAAUCUCACAAAUCACCACUACAGGACUUACUCAUGUAACCAAACACCACCUGUUCUCCAAUAACCUAUAGAAACAAAAAAUUUAAAACAAAGAAAAACUUUCUAAUAACCACAUUUAAAAAGUAAAAAGAAAAAAAUUGUUACACACAAAGGAUGCAGUGAUGGUUAAUUUUAUGUGUCAACAUUAAUUUAAUUAAAGUUAAUGUCAAACAUUAUUCAGGAUAUGUCUUUGAGGGUGUUUCUGGGUGACAAUGACAUUUAAAUCUGUAGACUGAUUAAAGCAGACACCCUCCCUAAUUAAUGAUGGGGGAGCCUCAACCGGUCAGUUGAUGGCCUGAAUAGGACAAAAGGGCUGACCCUCCUGAGAGUAAGAGUGAAUUUCUCCUGCCUGAGUCAGACUGGAACUACACCAUUGGCUCUUCUGGGUCUCCAGCUUGCCAACUGCAGAUCUUGGGACUUCUCAGCCUCCAUAAUCACAUGAACCAAUUCCUUAAAAUAAAUCUCUUUCUCUCUAUAUACAUACAUCCUAUUAGUUCUGUUUCUCUGAAGAAAUGAUUAAUACAGAUGUCUUGGGGCAUCAGGCUUUAUUUCUC
rnacentral:lncRNA from 10 species